GACGAACGCUGGCGGCGUGCUUAACACAUGCAAGUCGAACGAAGAGCGAUGGAAGCUUGCUUCUAUCAAUCUUAGUGGCGAACGGGUGAGUCACGCGUAAUCAACCUGCCCUUCAGAGGGGGACAACAGUUGGAAACGACUGCUAAUACCGCAUACGAUCUAAUCUCGGCAUCGAGGAUAGAUGAAAGGUGGCCUCUACAUGUAAGCUAUCACUGAAGGAGGGGAUUGCGUCUGAUUAGCUAGUUGGAGGGGUAACGGCCCACCAAGGCGAUGAUCAGUAGCCGGUCUGAGAGGAUGAACGGCCACAUUGGGACUGAGACACGGCCCAGACUCCUACGGGAGGCAGCAGUGGGGAAUCUUCCGCAAUGGACGAAAGUCUGACGGAGCAACGCCGCGUGAGCGAUGACGGCCUUCGGGUUGUAAAGCUCUGUUAAUCGGGACGAAAGGCCUUCUUGCGAAUAGUGAGAAGGAUUGACGGUACCGGAAUAGAAAGCCACGGCUAACUACGUG
rnacentral:rRNA from 1 species